UACGUAGGGGCCUAGCGUUGUCCGGAUUUAUUGGGCGUAAAGAGCUCGUAGGCGGCUUGUCGCGUCGUCCGUGAAAACCUGUGGCUCAACUGCAGGCUUGCGGUCGAUACGGGCAGGCUGGAGUUCGGUAGGGGAGACUGGAAUUCCUGGUGUAGCGGUGAAAUGCGCAGAUAUCCGGAGGAACCCCAGAGGCGAAGGCGGCGCCCUGGCCCGACACUGACGCUCAGACACGACAGCAUGGGGAGCGAACGGG
rnacentral:rRNA from 1 species